GAUGAACGCUGGCGGCGUGCCUAAUACAUGCAAGUCGAGCGAACAGACGAGGAGCUUGCUCCUCUGACGUUAGCGGCGGACGGGUGAGUAACACGUGGAUAACCUACCUAUAAGACUGGGAUAACUUCGGGAAGCCGGAGCUAAUACCGGAUAAUAUAUUGAACCGCAUGGUUCAAUAGUGAAAGACGGUUUUGCUGUCACUUAUAGAUGGAUCCGCGCCGCAUUAGCUAGUUGGUAAGGUAACGGCUUACCAAGGCAACGAUGCGUAGCCGACCUGAGAGGGUGAUCGGCCACACUGGAACUGAGACACGGUCCAGACUCCUACGGGAGGCAGCAGUAGGGAAUCUUCCGCAAUGGGCGAAAGCCUGAAGGAGCAACGCCGCGUGAGUGAUGAAGGUCUUCGGAUCGUAAAACUCUGUUAUUAGGGAAGAACAAAUGUGUAAGUAACUAUGCACGUCUUGACGGUACCUAAUCAGAAAGCCACGGCUAACUACGUG
rnacentral:rRNA from 1 species